AAAGUCGUAACAAGGUAACCGUAGGUGAACCUGCGGUUGGAUCAUUACUGAAUUUAAAGGCCAAGUACUUUUGGUACUUUUGUACUUUGUGGUACUUGGCACUUUAUUACACCCCUUUGUGAACCAUUAUUGUAUUUUGGCAGCCCUCCAUACGGCAGAUUUGAUCGAGUAGCGAAGCGUUGCUCACCAAUUUUGCCAUGGGCUGUCAGCCUUUAAAAACACCAAUGUCAUAUAUAUAUCAUGUCGCCAAUGGGACUUUAAAAGUUUCGUUAUUUUAAUAAAUACAACUUUUGACAACGGAUCUCUUGGCUCUC
rnacentral:misc_RNA from 1 species